rnacentral:rRNA from 1 species
UGCCAGCCGCCGCGGUAAUACGGAGGGUGCGAGCGUUAAUCGGAAUCACUGGGCGUAAAGCGUACGUAGGUGGCUUGUUAAGUCGUGCGUGAAAGCUCCCUGACUCAACCGGGAGAGGUCGUGCGAUACUGGCAAGCUUGAGACAGGUAGAGGCAGGUAGAAUUCCAGGUGUAGUGGUGAAAUGCGUAGAUAUCUGGAGGAAUACCCGUGGCGAAGGCGGCCUGCUGGGCCUGAUCUGACGCUCAGACGCGAAAGCAUGGGGAGCGAACGGGAUUAGAUA